AACGCGAAAUCUCCCUUCGGGGAGAAAGUAGAGUGGCGCACGGGUGAGUAACACGUAGGUAAUUUGCCUUUGGGUGGGGAAUAACUCAGGGAAACUUGAGCUAAUACCGCAUAAUGCAGCGGCUCGACAUCGAGACAGUUGUUAAAGCGGGGGAUCGCAAGACCUCGCGCCUAAAGAGAAGCCUGCGGCAGAUUAGCUAGUUGGUAGGGUAAUGGCCUACCAAGGCAACGAUCUGUAACCGGCCUGAGAGGGCGGUCGGUCACACUGACACUGACAUACGGGUCAGACUCCUACGGGAGGCAGCAGUCGGGAAUUUUGGGCAAUGGGCGAAAGCCUGACCCAGCAACGCCGCGUGAAGGAUGAAAUCCCUCGGGAUGUAAACUUCGUAAGAACAGGAAGAAUAAGUGGGGGACAAUACCCCCCAUGAUGACGGUACUGUUUGUAAGCUCCGGCUAACUCCGUGCCAGCAGCCGCGGUAAUACGGGGGGAGCAAGCGUUGUUCGGAUUUACUGGGCGUAAAGGGCGCGUAGGCGGCCACGACAAGUCACUUGUGAAAUCUCCGGGCUUAACCCGGAACGGUCAAGUGAUACUGUCGGGCUAGAGUGCAGAAGGGGCAACUGGAAUUCUCGGUGUAGCGGUGAAAUGCGUAGAUAUCGAGAGGAACACCUGCGGCGAAGGCGGGUUGCUGGGCUGACACUGACGCUGAGGCGCGAAAGCCAGGGGAGCGAACGGGAUUAGAUACCCCGGUAGUCCUAGCC
rnacentral:rRNA from 1 species